AAGGCGUAAUGAUUUGGGCACUGUCUCAACGAGAGACUCGGUGAAAUUUUAGUACCUGUGAAGAUGCAGGUUACCCGCGACAGGACGGAAAGACCCCAUGGAGCUUUACUGCAGUUUGAUAUUGAGUAUCUGUACCACAUGUACAGGAUAGGUAGGAGCCAUUGACUUCGGGACGCCAGUUUCGAAUGAGGCGUUGUUGGGAUACUACCCUUGUGUUAUGGCUACUCUAACCCAGAUAGGUUAUCCCUAUCGGAGACAGUGUCUGACGGGCAGUUUGACUGGGGCGGUCGCCUCCUAAAGAGUAACGGAGGCGCCCAAAGGUUCCCUCAGAUUGGUUGGAAAUCAAUCGCAAAGUGUAAAGGUAUAAGGGAGCUUGACUGCGAGAGCUA
rnacentral:rRNA from 1 species